UACGGGGGGGGCAAGCGUUGUUCGGAUUCACUGGGCGUAAAGGGUGCGUAGGCGGUCGGGUAAGUCUGAUGUGAAAUCUCACAGCUUAACUGUGAAACUGCAUUGGAUACUAUCCGGCUCGAGGAAUGGAGGGGAGACUGGAAUACUUGGUGUAGCAGUGAAAUGCGUAGAUAUCAAGUGGAACACCAGUGGCGAAGGCGAGUCUCUGGACAUUUCCUGACGCUGAGGCACGAAAGCCAGGGGAGCAAACGGG
rnacentral:rRNA from 1 species